rnacentral:lncRNA from 1 species
UAGAAACAUUUUUUUUCUUUCACAGAAAACAGUGUCAAUGAAGAUUUUUUCUGUUUCGCAGCACAUGACCUCUACACUCAAGCCCCCCAGUUGCCUCUGUUCUCUCCUCGUGGAAGUUCUGUUCUGCUGCCGCGUGUGCACAGUUCACAGAAAGAACACACUGUGAAACAAAGGCAACUACCAGCCAUCACCGGCUUAGCAGCAGGGGAUAAGGGGGCUGAUAGCUCCUCUCCUGUUUCCUGGAGAGUUCCAAAAUCCUACACAGCACCCGCAAGUGUGACUGGGAAGUCAAACAGUGAAGGAAAAUGGGAGUCAGAAAGAGUCCAUCACCACCAGAAACCAUCUGUGCAAAGGUGAAGAAAGUGAGUGGAGCAAUACAGGCAUUAAAGAACACAUGUAAAAGGAGUCAUUAAUUAGUGUGUUCAUCUUCAAGUUUUAUUGCCAA